rnacentral:tRNA from 1 species
AUUAAAGUAGUUUAUAAAAAAUAUUGAUUUGUGGUGUCAAUGAAGCGUUGUUGCCUUUAGUA